rnacentral:rRNA from 1 species
CAGUAGCCGCGGGAAAACGAAGGGGGCUAGCGUUGUUCGGAAUUACUGGGCGUAAAGCGCACGUAGGCGGAUAUUUAAGUCAGGGGUGAGAUCCCGCAGCUCAACUGCGGAACUGCCUUUGAUACUGGGUAUCUUGAGUAUGGAAGAGGUUAGUGGAAUUGCGAGUGUAGAGGUGAAAUCCGUAGAUAUUCGCAGGAACACCAGUGGCGAAGGCGGCUAACUGGUCCAUAACUGACGCUGAGGUGCGAAAGCGUGGGGAGCAAACAGGAUUAGAUACCCCUGUAGUCCCUGUCUCUUAUAC